rnacentral:rRNA from 1 species
UGGAAACGGCGUCUAAUACUGGAUAUGUGACGUGACCGCAUGGUCUGCGUUUGGAAAGAUUUUUCGGUUGGGGAUGGGCUCGCGGCCUAUCAGCUUGUUGGUGAGGUAAUGGCUCACCAAGGCGUCGACGGGUAGCCGGCCUGAGAGGGUGACCGGCCACACUGGGACUGAGACACGGCCCAGACUCCUACGGGAGGCAGCAGUGGGGAAUAUUGCACAAUGGGCGAAAGCCUGAUGCAGCAACGUCGCGUGAGGGAUGACGGCCUUCGGGUUGUAAACCUCUUUUAGCAGGGAAGAAGCGAAAGUGACGGUACCUGCAGAAAAAGCGCCGGCUAACUACGUGCCAGCAGCCGCGGUAAUACGUAGGGCGCAAGCGUUAUCCGGAAUUAUUGGGCGUAAAGAGCUCGUAGGCGGUUUGUCGCGUCUGCUGUGAAAUCCCGAGGCUCAACCUCGGGCCUGCAGUGGGUACGGGCAGACUAGAGUGCGGUAGGGGAGAUUGGAAUUCCUGGUGUAGCGGUGGAAUGCGCAGAUAUCAGGAGGAACACCGAUGGCGAAGGCAGAUCUCUGGGCCGUAACUGACGCUGAGGAGCGAAAGGGUGGGGAGCAAACAGGCUUAGAUACCCUGGUAGUCCACCCCGUAAACGUUGGGAACUAGUUGUGGGGUCCAUUCCACGGAUUCCGUGACGCAGCUAACGCAUUAAGUUCCCCGCCUGGGGAGUACGGCCGCAAGGCUAAAACUCAAAGGAAUUGACGGGGACCCGCACAAGCGGCGGAGCAUGCGGAUUAAUUCGAUGCAACGCGAAGAACCUUACCAAGGCUUGACAUAUACGAGAACGGGCCAGAAAUGGUCAACUCUUUGGACACUCGUAAACAGGUGGUGCAUGGUUGUCGUCAGCUCGUGUCGUGAGAUGUUGAGUUAAGUCCCGCAACGAGCGCAACCCUCGUUCUAUGUUGCCAGCACGUAAUGGUGGGAGCUCAUGGGAUACUGCCGGGGUCAACUCGGAGGAAGGUGGGGAUGACGUCAAAUCAUCAUGCCCCUUAUGUCUUGGGCUUCACGCAUGCUACAAUGGCCGGUACAAAGGGCUGCAAUACCGUGAGGUGGAGCGAAUCCCAAAAAGCCGGUCCCAGUUCGGAUUGAGGUCUGCAACUCGACCUCAUGAAGUCGGAGUCGCUAGUAAUCGCAGAUCAGCAACGCUGCGGUGAAUACG